rnacentral:rRNA from 1 species
GCCGCUUGCGGCGUGCUAUACAUGCAAGUCGAGCGGACAGAUGGGAGCUUGCUCCCUGAUGUUAGCGGCGGACGGGUGAGUAACACGUGGGUAACCUGCCUGUAAGACUGGGAUAACUCCGGGAAACCGGGGCUAAUACCGGAUGGUUGUUUGAACCGCAUGGUUCAAACAUAAAAGGUGGCUUCGGCUACCACUUACAGAUGGACCCGCGGCGCAUUAGCUAGUUGGUGAGGUAACGGCUCACCAAGGCAACGAUGCGUAGCCGACCUGAGAGGGUGAUCGGCCACACUGGGACUGAGACACGGCCCAGACUCCUACGGGAGGCAGCAGUAGGGAAUCUUCCGCAAUGGACGAAAGUCUGACGGAGCAACGCCGCGUGAGUGAUGAAGGUUUUCGGAUCGUAAAGCUCUGUUGUUAGGGAAGAACAAGUACCGUUCGAAUAGGGCGGUACCUUGACGGUACCUAACCAGAAAGCCACGGCUAACUACGUGCCAGCAGCCGCGGUAAUACGUAGGUGGCAAGCGUUGUCCGGAAUUAUUGGGCGUAAAGGGCUCGCAGGCGGUUUCUUAAGUCUGAUGUGAAAGCCCCCGGCUCAACCGGGGAGGGUCAUUGGAAACUGGGGAACUUGAGUGCAGAAGAGGAGAGUGGAAUUCCACGUGUAGCGGUGAAAUGCGUAGAGAUGUGGAGGAACACCAGUGGCGAAGGCGACUCUCUGGUCUGUAACUGACGCUGAGGAGCGAAAGCGUGGGGAGCGAACAGGAUUAGAUACCCUGGUAGUCCACGCCGUAAACGAUGAGUGCUAAGUGUUAGGGGGUUUCCGCCCCUUAGUGCUGCAGCUAACGCAUUAAGCACUCCGCCUGGGGAGUACGGUCGCAAGACUGAAACUCAAAGGAAUUGACGGGGGCCCGCACAAGCGGUGGAGCAUGUGGGUUUAAUUCGAAGCAACGCGAAGAACCUUACCAGGUCUUGACAUCCUCUGACAAUCCUAGAGAUAGGACGUCCCCUUCGGGGGCAGAGUGACAGGUGGUGCAUGGUUGUCGUCAGCUCGUGUCGUGAGAUGUUGGGUUAAGUCCCGCAACGAGCGCAACCCUUGAUCUUAGUUGCCAGCAUUCAGUUGGGCACUCUAAGGUGACUGCCGGUGACAAACCGGAGGAAGGUGGGGAUGACGUCAAAUCAUCAUGCCCCUUAUGACCUGGGCUACACACGUGCUACAAUGGACAGAACAAAGGGCAGCGAAACCGCGAGGUUAAGCCAAUCCCACAAAUCUGUUCUCAGUUCGGAUCGCAGUCUGCAACUCGACUGCGUGAAGCUGGAAUCGCUAGUAAUCGCGGAUCAGCAUGCCGCGGUGAAUACGUUCCCGGGCCUUGUACACACCGCCCGUCACACCACGAGAGUUUGUAACACCCGAAGUCGGUGAGGUAACCUUUUAGGAGCCAGCCGCCGAAGGUGACAGAUGAUG